rnacentral:lncRNA from 1 species
AUGCCUACGGCAUUGCCGUCGCCAUACUUGCUCACCAGAACCAAAAAAAAAGAUUAGCCAAAAAGGCUAGCUAUUUACAAAUGCUUAUACAGACAUGAUUCAACAACCAUGGAUUUGCAAACACAGACCAUAGAAUAUUUUUUAUGUACAUAACAUUCCCAUUCUAAGACUCCACAGCAGCAUGAGAGGAGGUCGAGGGGCGGUGGUGGGGGAGACAAGGCUGCAACGAUGGAGGUGGCAUACAGUCAGUAUAACAAACCGAAGAUCCUACAUAUGAGGAUGAAUAUGUAAUCUACACACUGAAUUUACCAAAAGAAACCCGCCUAGAACAGGGGCAUCCAACUAAAAAGGCAGAAAAGUAUUGCCUUUCAUGAAGACGCUCCAGUUUUGGUUGUAUCUAUCAAGCAUGAGUUGUUCAAGGCAAGCUCCAAAGAGAAAGAAAUUGAGCUCCAAAGAGAAAGAAAUUGGUCUCUGAUUGUGACUGAUGAUACUUACUCAUAUAAAUUUUCAGUCAAAGUAAAACCAAAAAAUUGAUGCAUAUAAACUGAACCAGAGUGUGGUGCUGCUGAUUCAUAUGUAUAUACAGAAGAUGCAAGUGUCAUUGAGUUGGUUUUAGUCAAAGUAAAAACAAAUGGACACAUAGAAAACUAAACGAAGGUGGUGUUGAUUCAUGUGCAUGUACAGAUUGAGGUGCCAUCCAGUUGGUUUCAGUCAAAGUUCAACCAAAAAUAUUGACACAUACAAACUGAAGAGAAGUGUGGUGCUGAUUCAUAUGUAUAUACAGGAGAUGCAAGUGCCACCAAGAUAGAUAGUUUCAGUCAAAGUAAAAAAACAAUUGGACACAUACAAACUGAAGCAAACCGUCAUGCUUUUUCAUGUGUACAUACAAAAGAUGCAAGUGGUAUCCAGAAUUUGGAUAUAGGUAGUACGCUCAUGUGGUGAAUUUUGUGAAUCUAUACUCUGCAUCUACCAAAAGGACCUCUCCCCUCACAUGCAAAUAUAAUUCAGUCCAAUGGCUUUCUUCUCCCCUCACAUGCAUAAGACAAGAGCAGACCAUCUAAACAGGCGGAUCAGACCUUCACCAUGGGAGGGAGGCGAGUGCUACCUGUUGCCAUGCCGUCGUCGAGAUCGGGUGGUCCUCCUCCUCGAGCAAGACAAGGUUGUUCCUCCCCUACACUCCAAUGGCCAUCUUCUCCAAGGACAUCUACAAGGGCAGAACACACCAUUGAUGCAAGUGCCACCAAGAUAGUUUCAGUCAAAGUUAAAGCAAAUGUAAACAUGCAAACUGAACCAAACCGAGGUGCAUAUUCAUAUGUGUGUGUGUGUAGAGAUGCAAGUGCCAUCUGAAUUUUGGGGAACCAAAGCGUGGUUGUUGUUGUUGCUAAUCGAGGAGCAAGUUGUUUUAGCAACAGCACAUACUAGUAAUUAGCUAGGACCAUUAUUAUUGCACAACCAUUCGAGGACGGUGGCAGACACAUCAACUCACAAGGCUCUACUGGAGAAACAAAAUAAUAGGAUAUGUGAUGCUAUCAAUCUUAGCACAAGAAGAAAAAAAGCACAGCCACUCCGAUAGAAUGGAUGGAUGCAUCAUGCACAAUCAUCGGUUCCAUCAUUGCAGCACUAGUUGAGCAACAAAUCAAAAAUAACAGUAGUUCCAUUGGUUCAGCCAACAAGUUAACAAAAGUUUACUUCCCACUCCUAAUUUUGCAACUUGUCAUAAUAAAGAAAACAGAGCUCGACAUCACAGCAACAAAUAAAUAAUGACCCGCUGUACUACAUAUAUCUGUAAAGGACUUCUUGAGAGAUGAUAUUAUUACCAAUGAAGAAAAAUUAAGAUCAAGGCUCCAGUACAUCAGCGGUACCUACCUGUGCAUCAAAGAAGAGAUGGAUAAUCAAUUUUAUGUAGGUAAUACCAAAUAAAGGAUCAAAUUUAAGUUCAUUCAAAUUAAUGCAUAUGUGGGUUGGCAGAAACAAAAAAAGAAUAUAUAUAAAUAGAUCUACAGAUAUGAACAAAAUGGCAAAUGUGAAAGAAAAUAGCGCAGAUAAAAUGUUGAUUGUUUUGGAAGAUCCAAAGGUACAUAUGAUCAAUUAAUCAUACCUGGGAAUCUGAACAUAUUAAUGCGAAAUAAUAACUGACUAUAGCAAAUGAAAUUGAGAUAGAAAAAAUUGCUACCUAGAGUCCUUGACUCAACCGAGAGAUCUAUGGGAACCAAAAUUUUACAUGCAAUUUAUCCAUGUUCAGGUAAUACAAAAUAUGCAGAGUAAUUAAAUUGUGUAGUAGCUAGCCCAUAUAUAAAACUAAAGGUAGAAACUGGAGUAAUGAAACAUAUCUGGAUUGAUGUGCAAAUGCUAUAGCGACUUACAUGCUUGGAUUCAAUAAUUAUGAAGCAGAUUAGUGUGAUGCAUAUGCAUGUUCGUGAGAACAGAUCCAGGGGAAACAACAAAGUAACCUGCACUUCCUCUAAUUUAUUAAUCACAUGCUCUUUGACUAACCAUCCAAAAAAUAUAGAUCAAGGAUGAUACUGCCAGCCACCUGCGGGGAGUAAGAAUGAGUAGUUUCUGCUAAUUAGAGGACAAACUAAAAAAAAGCUAACUAGAGAUUUGCUCUCUCUCUCUGUGUACGUUGUGCUCUGGCCGGUGGGGGAAUGAUAAAAAAAGCAACUACUGCUAUGUAUGUUAGCUUGUCCAUCAGGAUAGAUCAAACUAGCUACCGGUGAAGGAUAUAUCUAGCUUCGUGACUUAAGAGAACCACAGCUAGGUUGCGUCGGCAAGGAGUGGGUUUGGCUCAGCGUUGCGUCGACUUUCAUCACCUUCUACUCCACCUCGCUCAUCAUCUCCGUUCGAGUUGUAGCAGCAAAAUUAACCAAUCCCUAUUGGUACUAUCUAACUAAAGAACCAGGAUUCUAAACUCAUCUUCUCUCUCUUUUUGGUACUAACUAGACAAAUAAAUAAAUAAAGGACUUGUUCAUACAAAUCCCUCUAGAAUUCCUUCACACAAGAGGAUUUGCAUCACAUAUUCCUCUACUUAGCAGCAGCAGUAGUGAGCAGAGGAAGGAGGCGGAGGAGAUGGAGGUGCUACCUGCCGAGGUGGGUCGUCGUGGCCGUGCUUGAGCUAGACAGCCCGCCUCCUCGAGCAGGACAGGGCCGCCAGCUAGGUGCGCCAGUAGGAAGGACGACGCCCUCCUGCCGUCGUCGUCGUCCAGACCGCGCCAAGGUGACCUGCAGCAAGGGAAGGAAAGGAGAAGGUGAGGUGGGGAGGGUGGAUCUGGGCGAGGAAAGAGGGGAAGGACGUACCUGCAACACACCGGUAAUGGAUUCGUCGAGCUCUGGCCUCGCCGUCGCCGGAUGUGGCUGAUCCUGGCGAUGUUGGGGGUGGCGGCCGAAACCCUAGCUAGCCACGGGGACAGUGGAGGGCGGGAGCGCCGAUUCUGGACGGAGGGGGAGGUGGAGCGGACCUAGGGGAGCUCGGGGGCGUGCUGCGCGCCGCCGGAGCUCGCCGGAACUGGGCGGCGUGGGUGGUGGCGGCGGCGAGGGAGAGAGGCUCGUGGGGGAGAGAGGAGUCGCGAGAGACAGAGGUUCGUGCGGAGAGAGCGAGGUAGGGGUUGGGUGGGCUCUUUUUUCUUUUUCUUUUUUUUUUCUCCUUUUCUCUAGAUGGAUGGAUGGAUGGUCGUGGGGUGGAUAGCUAGAUGGAUAGAUGGAUGGAUAUGUGCCACGUCAUCGAUCCGUGGCACAAAGUUUCCACCAAUAGAAACGAAGCUCAUACAAUUGUGUUUUCCCUUUUGUUUUUCUUCUAAUUUUUUCUACCCUCUUGCACCGACCGUCGAUGAUCCGUGAGGGGAGAGGAGGGCGGCGAAGAGGAGAUGGUCUGGUGAGGUGGGGAGGGAAUGGAUCGGGGAAUGGUGCGUUCGGUAUGAUGACUAUGAGUCCGGACGGGGACCUACGCACAGUCGCACGGAACAUCUCUUCGGCUUUCCCCGUCACCGUCGACGAUGACACGUGCGACGUCCCUCACCAUUGAACGACGACACCAAAGGAGG